UACGAAGGGUGCAAGCGUUAAUCGGAAUUACUGGGCGUAAAGCGUGCGUAGGCGGUUUCUUAAGUCUGCUGUGAAAGCCCUGGGCUCAACCUGGGAACUGCAGUGGAUACUGGUCAGCUAGAGUGUGAUAGAGGAUGGUGGAAUUCCCGGUGUAGCGGUGAAAUGCGUAGAGAUCGGGAGGAACACCAGUGGCGAAGGCGGCCAUCUGGAUCAACACUGACGCUGAGGCACGAAAGCGUGGAGAGCAAACAGG
rnacentral:rRNA from 1 species